CAAAUUCCUUAACCUCUAUCUCCAUCCCCAACCGCAACCCCACUCUUCUCUCAUCUCCGCAAUACCCAAAAUUUCAAAACUCCCAAGCCACUACUCUCCAUCCCCAGUUACCAUUACGACCAAACUAGAUUUCCCAUAUGGGCAAAACCAGUUUCUCCACAGGAGAAUGGCAUCAAACCAACCCAGAAUUAAUCCAAAAGUAGAUGAAUUUGAACCUGUAUCAACCCUUACCAAUGAUGAUCUCAAGCCAGUUCCACCAAAUCAAAGGACCUUUUCUUGGUGGGAAAUGGCCAGUCUAUGGAUUGGUCUUGUUGUGGGGGUGCCAUCUUAUUACUUGGCAGGCAGUCUUGUUGAUCUUGGCAUGGCUUGGUGGCAAGGGAUAGCCACAGUUGUAGCUGCCAAUAUAAUUUUAUUAGUUCCUUUAGUUCUUACAGGGGAUCCUGGAACACGUUAUGGAAUCUCCUUCCCCGUCUUGGCUAGAUCUUCGUUUGGAAUUCGUGGUGCCCAUAUUCCUGCUCUACUUAGAGCAUUGGUUGGAUGUGGCUGGUAUGGAAUUGAAACUUGGAUUGGUGGUGAGGCAAUCUUCAUUCUUUUACCUAAAUUCAUUAAAGAAUCUUCUUGGUCUCAAUUUUGGCCUUGGCUUGGCACUUCCCCAUUAGAAUUUGCUUGUUUUAUUGUCUUUUGGGUAGCUCAAUUGACUGUAGUUUGGAAGGGAAUGGAAGGGAUUAGACAGCUAGAGAAAUACUCAGCUCCUAUAUUAAUCACACUCACUGCUUGUUUACUUGCCUGGGCUUAUGUUAAUGCUGGUGGUUUUGGUCAUAUGCUGGCUUUGUCCUCUAGGCUAUCUUCUUCUGAAUUUUGGGCUCUGUUCUUCCCUUCCCUAACUGCAAAUAUUAGUUUCUGGGCUACUCUUGCACUAAAUAUACCAGAUUUUACUAGGUACGCCAAGAGCCAAACUGACCAAAUAAUUGGUCAGGCUGGUCUGCCAAUUUUCAUGGGUGCCUUUACAUUUGUUGGAUUAGCUGUAACCUCAUCUACAACUGUGAUUUUUGGACGUGUGAUCUCUAGUCCAAUUCAACUUCUUGAGCAAAUUGGUGGGUUCAUUACAAUGAUUCUAGCCAUAAUUGGAAUUAGCCUAGCCACUUUAACAACAAAUAUAGCUGCAAAUGUUGUGGCACCUGCCAAUGCACUUGUCAGUCUUAGCCCAUCAAAGUUCACAUUCAGGAGAGGAGCUCUUUUAACUGCAUUGCUUGGUAUUGUUUUCCAGCCAUGGAGACUGCUCCAAUCAAGUGAAAGCUUUGUUUAUACUUGGUUAGUUGGCUACUCUGCCUUAUUGGGCCCAAUUGGGGGUAUUUUACUAGUAGACUAUUAUCUUAUUCAGAAGACAAACUUAAGUGUCAAGGACUUGUACACCUCGAGUCCAUAUGGAGCGUAUUUUUACUCAGGGGGUUACAACUUGGCAGCAUUGGCAGCUCUUAUUAUUGGGAUUUUGCCAGUGAUUCCAGGUUUAUUACAGAAGGUUGGAAUUCUGUCUACAAUUCCAGGCACCUGCGUGGUCAUCUACAAUAAUGCUUGGUUUUUUAGCUUCUUUUUUGCAGGUUUUCUCUACUGGAUUCUGUCAAAUCUUACAGGAAAACAAAAGAAGUCAAUACCUAUAGAUCCCCUCUUGCCUAAUGCAAACUAAUGAUUAUUUCUUUUCUUCUUGUUCUUUUGCUUUCCAAAUAUAUAUAUUUUUUUUAAGCACAGGAAAACUGCAAACUGCUUGUAAAGAACAAUUAUGGAACUUCUGUUGUAAAUUUCCCAAGUUCCUAUGCGUUUUAGGCAUUCAACACAUUUGAAAGGCUGAAUUUUCAUAUGGCCUUGUAUGCAACAUAAUCAUUUGCAGUAAAUUUGCUAUUGUUG
rnacentral:misc_RNA from 1 species